CCUACGGGAGGCUGCAGUAGGGAAUCUUCCACAAUGGGCGCAAGCCUGAUGGAGCAACACCGCGUGAGUGAAGAAGGGUUUCGGCUCGUAAAGCUCUGUUGUUGGAGAAGAACGUGCGUGAGAGUAACUGUUCACGCAGUGACGGUAUCCAACCAGAAAGUCACGGCUAACUACGUGCCAGCAGCCGCGGUAAUACGUAGGUGGCAAGCAUUAUCCGGAUUUAUUGGGCGUAAAGCGAGCGCAGGCGGUUGCUUAGGUCUGAUGUGAAAGCCUUCGGCUUAACCGAAGAAGUGCAUCGGAAACCGGGCGACUUGAGUGCAGAAGAGGACAGUGGAACUCCAUGUGUAGCGGUGGAAUGAGUAGAUAUAUGGAAGAACACCAGUGGCGAAGGCGGCCUGCUGGACCGCGACUGACGUUGAGGCUCGAAAGCGUGGGGAGCGAACAGGAUUAGAUACCCUGGUAGUC
rnacentral:rRNA from 1 species